CUUGUAGUUAAAUCCAGGAUGCCAGUUCUCCUUUCUUAGGUUGAACAGUGGCACCCAAUGUUAUCAAGUCCUAAUCCCUAGAACUGCAAAUGAUGCUUUAUUUGGAAAAAAGGGGUCUUUGGAGAUGUAAUUACAUUAAAGAUUUUGAGUUAAGGGAUUAUCUUGGAUUAUCCAUAAGGACACUUAAUGCAAUCACAUGUAUGCUUAUAAAACAGGAGGAGACUGGACACACACAGAGGAGAAGACCACAUGAAGAAAGGUCUGAAGAUACUGGUCUUGAUUAGAGUGAAGAGGGAACAAUCCAAGGAACGCCCACAAUGACCAGGAGCUGGAAGAGGCAAAAGGAUGAAUUCUCCCCUAAAGCCUCCACAGAGAGCAUGGCCCUGCUGACAUCUUGGUUUCAGCCUAGUGAUACUGAUUUUGGGUUUUUGGCCUCCAGAACUGAAUCCAGGAGCUCCCCAUUCUGUGUACAACCUGCACAUUAUAGAACCUUUGUCAACAUUAUGGAAUAUUUCGGGAUUGUCUGCAAUUUACAGGUGCAGAGAAUGAGGCUGAGAGUUGGAGACUCAGUAAAGGGUGGCAGAGGGCACAGACGCCACCAGCAGACUCUUCGGAAGAAAGUAACAGGACUGGAACUUCAUUUUCCCAUGGAUUGUAAAAGGUUUCCACGCAUCCUUAGACUUCCAUACCAAGAAAUUUUUUUUCUUGGAUAUAGAUCCAAGAUGGCGGAUUGCUAACAGCUCGAGAUUGUAGCUCCAGUGAAAACACAGAGAACGAGAGGACACCACACUUUCAGACGAAUUUUCAUCACUCACGGACCAGAAGGUUCCCAGUGGAGGAGCCCCAUGGGUCGCCAGCGUGACUCUUGUGGCCGGUGCAGCGGUUUUGCUGAUGCCUCAGCGUGGCAGCUCUUUAUGCAGAGUAAACAGGAUUGGUUCCCCUUCUGACUGAUGUUUGGAGCUCCGGGAAGGCAGAGCCACUUAUUAUGGACUCAAGAAGAAAGCCAGACUGGAGAUUCCCAGGCAGAAGAGCACCAUCAGUCUUAUCACUGCUGUUUUGGCCGGUGCAGUGGGUUGCUCAGAUUCCAGCACUGGGAAUCAAUAAACUGGACGUCCACUCAGAAACCUAAUUAGAAAGGCGGUAAUUGUAAAGAUGACAGAUGGAUAAAUUUAUAACAAAGGGAAGAAACCAGCCUAAAAAGGCUGAGAAUACCCAAAAUCAGAACCCCUCUUCCUCUACAGGGGAUUACAGUUCCUCAUCAGCAACAGAACAAGCCCUGAUGGAGAAGGAUUGUGUUCCAUUAACAGAAGUAGGCUUCAGAAGGUGGAUGAUAAGAAACUUCUGGGAGUAAAAAGAACUUGUUCUAACCCAAUGUAAAGAAACUAAGAACU
rnacentral:lncRNA from 1 species